rnacentral:rRNA from 1 species
AGUGAACGCUGGCGGUAGGCCUAACACAUGCAAGUCGAACGGCAGCACAGGAGAGCUUGCUCUCUGGGUGGCGAGUGGCGGACGGGUGAGGAAUACAUCGGAAUCUACUCUGUCGUGGGGGAUAACGUAGGGAAACUUACGCUAAUACCGCAUACGACCUACGGGUGAAAGCAGGGGAUCUUCGGACCUUGCGCGAUUGAAUGAGCCGAUGUCGGAUUAGCUAGUUGGCGGGGUAAAGGCCCACCAAGGCGACGAUCCGUAGCUGGUCUGGGAGGAUGAUCAGCCACGCUGGAAAGGAGAGACGGUCCAGGUUCCUACGGGAGGCAGCAGUGGGGAAUAUUGGACAAGGGGCGCAAGCCUGAUCCAGCCAUACCGCGUGGGUGAAGAAGGCCUUCGGGUUGUAAAGCCCUUUUGUUGGGAAAGAAAUCCAGCUGGCUAAUACCCGGUUGGGAUGACGGUACCCAAAGAAUAAGCACCGGCUAACUUCGUGCCAGCCGCCGCCGUAA